rnacentral:rRNA from 1 species
UGGAUCCAGACUUUGAUUCUGGCUCAGGAUGAACGCUAGCUACAGGCUUAACACAUGCAAGUCGAGGGGAAACGAUAGAGAAAGCUUGCUUUUUCUAGGCGUCGACCGGCGCACGGGUGAGUAACGCGUAUCCAACCUGCCCAUCACUUGGGGAUAACCUUGCGAAAGUAAGACUAAUACCCAAUGAUGUUUCUAGAAGACAUCUGAAGGAGAUUAAAGAUUCAUCGGUGAUGGAUGGGGAUGCGUCUGAUUAGCUUGUUGGCGGGGUAACGGCCCACCAAGGCGACGAUCAGUAGGGGUUCUGAGAGGAAGGUCCCCCACAUUGGAACUGAGACACGGUCCAAACUCCUACGGGAGGCAGCAGUGAGGAAUAUUGGUCAAUGGGCGAGAGCCUGAACCAGCCAAGUAGCGUGCAGGAUGACGGCCCUAUGGGUUGUAAACUGCUUUUAUAAGGGAAUAAAGUGGGAGUCGUGACUCUUUUUGCAUGUACCUUAUGAAUAAGGACCGGCUAAUUCCGUGCCAGCAGCCGCGGUAAUACGGAAGGUCCGGGCGUUAUCCGGAUUUAUUGGGUUUAAAGGGAGCGUAGGCCGGAGAUUAAGCGUGUUGUGAAAUGUAGGUGCUCAACAUCUGCACUGCAGCGCGAACUGGUUUCCUUGAGUACGCACAAAGUGGGCGGAAUUCGUGGUGUAGCGGUGAAAUGCUUAGAUAUCACGAAGAACUCCGAUUGCGAAGGCAGCUCACUGGAGCGCAACUGACGCUGAAGCUCGAAAGUGCGGGUAUCGAACAGGAUUAGAUACCCUGGUAGUCCGCACGGUAAACGAUGGAUGCCCGCUGUUGGUCUGAAUAGGUCAGCGGCCAAGCGAGAGCAUUAAGCAUCCCACCUGGGGAGUACGCCGGCAACGGUGCAACUCAAAUGAAUUGACGGA